UACGUAGGUGGCUAGCGUUGUCCGGAUUUACUGGGCGUAAAGCGCGCGCAGGCGGUCGUUCAAGUCGAGUGUGAAAGCCCCCGGCUCAACUGGGGAGGGUCACUCGAUACUGAUCGACUUGAAGGCAGAAGAGGGAAGCGGAAUUCCCGGUGUAGUGGUGAAAUGCGUAGAGAUCCGGAGGAACACCAGAGGCGAAGGCGGCAUUCUGGACGACAUCAGACGCUGAGACGCGACAGCACGGGGAGCGAACGGG
rnacentral:rRNA from 1 species